GCCGUGGCGGCGGCGGAGGGGGCGGGCCGGCGGCGCCGCGCAGGAGGAGGAAGUGCUGAGGUUGUUGCUUGCUCUGCGCCCAGCACUGGCUCUUGGGGCGCAGAGAGGGGCCGCGGUGUCUGCGGCUGCGUUGCGCUCCCUUGCAGUCCCCUCCAUGUUCCCCGGCGCCACCGCUUCACUUCCUAAGGCCACCGCUUGCCCCGGGGUCUAUGGAAGUAAUGGAAGGACCCCUCAACCUGGCUCAUCAACAGAGCAGACGAGCAGACCGUUUAUUAGCUGCAGGCAAAUACGAAGAGGCUAUUUCUUGUCACAAAAAAGCUGCAGCAUAUCUUUCUGAAGCCAUGAAGCUGACACAAUCUGAGCAGGUGAGACAUGUUCCUAAUAUUUUCAACAAGGAUUAGAAAGGUUUUCUUGUAGAGACUUGAAUUGUGUAUAAAGCAAAGUAUUGUGUUCCUCUCAAAAUGCUAUAGUCAAAAAUACAUAAAAUGGGCAAGGGAAGAGUACUUCAGAAAGGAAAUUAAAACUAAAUGAACUGCAGUCGAUGUCCCAGACAUAGAAUGCAGAAACUUCUUUUUUUCUAGUGGUUACUCACAGAUUGCCCAGAUGUAUCUUUUAGAGAGCCCUCUUAGGACCCCUGAUCAUUAGCUCUUACAUGAUCAUUAGCUCACAGUCAGUAAACAGGCCUGGCCAAGAGGAAACCAGUUGGACUACUCUUUGCUUGUGAAAGAUAAUUUGAAUCUGACCAGCCCCUCACUUGUCUUUGCUUGAAUUC